rnacentral:rRNA from 1 species
AUUGAACGCUGGCGGCAUGCUUUACACAUGCAAGUCGAACGGUAACAGGCCUUCGGGUGCUGACGAGUGGCGAACGGGUGAGUAUGCAUCGGAACGUGCCCAGAGGUGGGGGAUAACGCAGCGAAAUCUGUGCUAAUACCGCAUGUGAUCUGAGGAUGAAAGCGGGGGACCAAGCAGCAAUGUUUGGCCUCGCGCCUCUGGAGCGGCCGAUGUCAGAUUAGGUAGUUGGUGGGGUAAAGGCCUACCAAGCCGACGAUCUGUAGCUGGUCUGAGAGGACGACCAGCCACACUGGGACUGAGACACGGCCCAGACUCCUACGGGAGGCAGCAGUGGGGAAUUCUGGACAAUGGGCGCAAGCCUGAUCCAGCAAUGCCGCGUGCGGGAAGAAGGCCUUCGGGUUGUAAACCGCUUUUGUACGGAACGAAAAGGCUCUGGCUAAUACCUGGGGCUGAUGACGGUACCGGAAGAAUAAGCACCGGCUAACUACGUG